UGCCUGCAAAGCAGGGCUGGUGAUAAUGAUAAUGGUGAUGAUACGGUGCAAUAAGUGCCUACUCCAGAGCAAUACCAUGUGCGAAGUGUUACUACUGCCAUCAUCAUUGUUGGUACCACUUAACAUCGUGAGCCUGGCAUUUCUCAUCAUAAAAACUUAACAGAAAAUUCCAUUUCUCCCAUAAAAAAAGAAAAAAAAAACUUGAAAGGUAUUUUUUUUUUAAUCAAAGAAAAGUUGAAUAAAGAAAAAGUCAGUCGAACACCAGCUUUAGGAAACUGUUAAUUCCAUCUAAUUCACGUUGAGCCUAAUUCAGAUUAUAUGUCCAUCAGUCAGCCUAUGCUGUGAAAACGUCCCUUCUAUUCAGAACUGGUGAUUUGGCCAUUUCUUACCUAGUUUCCGGGUGCUUUGAAUACUAAGGAUUUGGAGACAGGCAGCAGCUAGUCAGUGAUUUUUAUAAGAGGGACUUUGGGACCUCAAGAGUGAGUGGCACAGAAUU